rnacentral:rRNA from 1 species
UUUGAUCCUGGCUCAGGAUGAACCUUGGCGGUGUGCCUAAUACAUGCAAGUCGAACGGUGACGAUUUUGUAGCAAUACGAAUGAAAUCAUAGUGGCGAACGGGUGAGUAACGCGUUGGUGAUCUGCCUCGAAGUGUGGAAUAACUUCCCGAAAGGGUAGCUAAUACCGCAUAGUCUCUCAAGGUUUAGAAAAUUGAGAGUAAAGGAUUUAUUCGCUUCGAGAGGAGCCUGCGUCCCAUCAGCUAGUUGGUAGGGUAAUAGCCUACCAAGGCAAUGACGGGUAGGGGACCUGAGAGGGUGGCCCCCCACAAUGGAACUGAAACACGGUCCAUACACCUACGGGUGGCAGCAGUAGGGAAUAUUAGAAAUGGGCGAAAGCCUGAUCUAGCAACACCGCGUGUGCGAUGAAGGCCUUCGGGUUGUAAAGCACUUUUUGGAGGGAAUAGGAAGGAAGGUACCUCCAGAAUAAGUCUCGGCUAACUACGUGCCAGCAGCCGCGGUAACACGUAGGAGGCAAACGUUAUCCGGAUUCACUGGGCGUAAAGCGCGUGUAGGUGGUUCUGUAAGUAGGGCGUGAAAGCUCCCGGCUCAACUGGGAGAGGCCGUACUAAACUGCAGAGCUAGAGGAUGGUAGAGGGAGGUGGAACUCCAGGUGUAGUGGUGAAAUGCGCAGAUAUCUGGAGGAACACCAGUGGCGAAGGCGGCCUCCUGGACCAUUCCUGACACUCAGACGCGAAAGCUAGGGUAGCAAACGGAAUUAGAGACUCCGGUAGUCCUAGCCCUAAACGAUGAGUGCUAGGUGUCGGGAGUCAAAUCUCGGUGCCGUAGUUAACGCAAUAAGCACUCCGCCUGGGGAGUACGUGCGCAAGCAUGAAACUCAAAGGAAUUGACGGGGACCCGCACAAGCAGCGAAGCAUGUGGUUUAAUUCGAAGCAACGCGAAGAACCUUACCAGGACUUGACAUACUAGUGCCAAAUGUAGAGAUACAUUAUUUCUUCGGAACACUAAUACAGGUGGUGCAUGGUUGUCGUCAGCUCGUGUCGUGAGAUGUUGGGUUAAGUCCCGCAACGAGCGCAACCCCUAUGUUUAUUUGCCAGCAUUUUGGAUGGGAACUAUAGACAGACUGCCGAUAAGAAAUCGGAGGAAGGUGGGGAUGACAUCAAAUCAUCAUGCCCUAUAUGUCCUGGGCUACACACGUGCUACAAUGGUCGUUACAGAGAGCAGCUACACAGCGAUGUCACGCGAAUCUCAAAAAGGCGAUCUCAGUUCGGAUUGUACUCUGCAACUCGAGUACAUGAAGUCGGAGUUGCUAGUAAUCGCAAAUCAGAAUGUUGCGGUGAAUGCGUUCCCGGGUCUUGUACACACGGCCCGUCA